GGCGGCGUGCUUAACACAUGCAAGUCGAACGAUGAAGCCCUUCGGGGUGGAUUAGUGGCGAACGGGUGAGUAACACGUGGGCAAUCUGCCCUUCACUCUGGGACAAGCCCUGGAAACGGGGUCUAAUACCGGAUACGACUGCGGGAGGCAUCUCCUGUGGUGGAAAGCUCCGGCGGUGAAGGAUGAGCCCGCGGCCUAUCAGCUUGUUGGUGGGGUAAUGGCCCACCAAGGCGACGACGGGUAGCCGGCCUGAGAGGGCGACCGGCCACACUGGGACUGAGACACGGCCCAGACUCCUACGGGAGGCAGCAGUGGGGAAUAUUGCACAAUGGGCGAAAGCCUGAUGCAGCGACGCCGCGUGAGGGAUGACGGCCUUCGGGUUGUAAACCUCUUUCAGCAGGGAAGAAGCGAAAGUGACGGUACCUGCAGAAGAAGCGCCGGCUAACUACGUGCCAGCAGCCGCGGUAAUACGUAGGGCGCAAGCGUUGUCCGGAAUUAUUGGGCGUAAAGAGCUCGUAGGCGGCUUGUCACGUCGGAUGUGAAAGCCCGAGGCUUAACCUCGGGUCUGCAUUCGAUACGGGCUAGCUAGAGUGUGGUAGGGGAGAUCGGAAUUCCUGGUGUAGCGGUGAAAUGCGCAGAUAUCAGGAGGAACACCGGUGGCGAAGGCGGAUCUCUGGGCCAUUACUGACGCUGAGGAGCGAAAGCGUGGGGAGCGAACAGGAUUAGAUACCCUGGUAGUCCACGCCGUAAACGUUGGGAACUAGGUGUUGGCGACAUUCCACGUCGUCGGUGCCGCAGCUAACGCAUUAAGUUCCCCGCCUGGGGAGUACGGCCGC
rnacentral:rRNA from 1 species